CCUGAACAGUUCCGUCAGUAUCAUAGAUUGGACAGGCAAUCAUUUGAAAAUAUUUUGAAGAUUGUUUUUCCAUACAUUGUAAAACAAGACACGCAAAUGAGGACAGCGUUAAAACCUCGCGAACGACUGGAGUAACCCUGCGAUUUCUUGCAACAGGUGAAACAUUUUGUAGUCUGUCAUUCCAGUUUAGAAUUGGCGAGCGUACAAUUUCGAAUAUUGUUGAGGAAACAUGCCAUGCUUUGUAUAUCUCGUUAAAGGAAACAUGUUUGGAGGCAAGUUAUUAAACAUUUACAACAAAUAUCGGUAGUAUUAUUAACAAUAACUGUUUACAUCCAUUAAGAGCUCAUGUUGUCAUAGGCAGAUGAGUCUUGACCACAAUUAAGCUCUCUAGAGAUUGGUGAAGACCACAUAUUAACAACAGGACGGCUCAAUCCACCAUCUAUUGGGGAAGAUGUGUUGAAUCGUUGACUAUUUGUCAUAUGAUUGCUGAUGGGGUGCAAGUUGUUUUGUGCAUAAGGUGUUUGAAACAUAUGUUGGUGCAUAGCUACUGGCACUCUUGUGCUUUGAUGUACUCCAUCUUGUGCAGAAGAAUGGAAGGCUGUUGCAGACCAAUUUGAAAAAAAAUGGAACUAUCCUGGCUGCAUUGGAGCUCUAGAUGGGAAACACAUAGCCAUACAACAACCAAAUAGUAGUGGAUCAGAAUUUUUCAACUACAAGCAUUUUUUCAGUGUUUUGCUUUUAGCUCUAGUAGAUGCAAACUACAAGUUUGUCUAUGUUAAUGUUGGAGCAGCAGGCCGUGCAGGAGAUGCUGGCGUGUAUAACGAGUCUAGCUUGUGAAAAGCUGUUGUUGAAAAUACUCUUGGUCUACCAUUACCAAUCAAAAUUCAUGCAUGACAAAUUUGAAUCCAUUCUACACAGACAGAAAUCCUUCUAAUAGUGCCAAAAUGCAAGGUGAAAUUCUGACGACAUAUUUUAACACUUGUGGAGCUGUAUCAUGGCAGGACAACAUUAUCUAGCAGUAGCACUUACUCUUAAUUAUAUAUAUAUAUAUAUAUAUAUGUUGUGCUAAAUAUUAAUUGUUUGGAAAAUCAAAAUAAAACAAGAAUUUCACUUACAGUAGCAAUAUU